CCACACCCGCUCCUUGUUGCUGGCCUCUGCAUCCUCCUCCCUCGAAGCGGGUCUAUGCGGGGAGUUGAUCUAGAAUAUCCUAUUGUUAGAUAUAACAAAUAGGUGACAAGAAAUAAACAAGAACUAUGUAGUACAAUAUAUGUGUCACACAGUAUACUUUGAAAAUGUGUAAUUUGAGAUUCUGAUAUAGAUGUAGGCCUGUAACACACCUUGAACAUGCACUGAAAAUUGUUGUUUACAGUCUGAUUUCUAAACCUGAUGAAAACCCCUAUUUAAAAAAGGAUUUAAUAGAAUUUGUAGUGAUUCUUUUGUCAGAUUGAUAAUAUAUUGCAAAUUAUGCUUGAUGGUUAAUUUCUUGGCAUAAAAGGUGCUUAUUUGAAAUUUGGUUACUACUGAAAUUUUGUCAAGAUACUUGGACUUGUUCAUUGUUCAGUCAGGUUCCAAUCAAGAGUUAACCUGAGACAAUAGAAAGUACUGUCUGUGUAAUUAUUGAUGGUUCUGGAAUAAGGAUUAAACCAAAUCAACGAAACAAAUCCUCGAGGAUGCCUUUUUUGGUAGCUAGCCAGGUUAAACUUUUCAAUCCGUGCUCAGCCCUGUACUCAUAGGUCCAUUGUUUCAAUAUUUAUGAAGCACCACAUUUCCAAAUACAUUUAUUAAGCACCCUACCAAUGUCAAAUUUUCAGAUCCUGCGUACUUUUUUGUGGUACAUGCCUACAAAUUUUUGUACAGUCUAUAGAAAAACGGCGACUGUCCGGUCUAAUCAUAAACGUAGCCUAAUCAUCAAAAAUUAAGUACACAAAAAACUUCAUAAACAUAGUUGUCACAGUUUUUUAUUAACCUUGUUUUUACAAUCUUUCAGAUUAUUCAGAAAACGAGUUACACAAUUUUUUAUUUAGAGAAAGAGUUACCACCAUUUUUUUAGAAACAACUUUCAUGUUCUUCUUUAGAAACAUUUUUUACCACUAUUAUGAAAAUAUGUUCAUAUUAAAGAUUACAGCUGCAAAAAAUAUAACAGCUGUAUGAUGGUUAAUCAAAUCAAGGAUGGUCGAGAACUUGCAGAUGCUACGUUUUUUAUUUUGAAGUUAAGACUCAACUUGGAGCAUUGGAGCAUUUGAGAAAUCUCACCACCAAGUCGACAUCCAGCAAUGGCAUCUAGAGCACAAAGGUCUAAAAUUGAAAAGUACACAACCUGUCGAAAUGCUCUCACCAUCUCAUGAAAUUGAUGUGCUCGGUGAGGCAGAGGACGAUGGUGUAGUGCUGCCGAAGCUCGGUACUUCCUUCGCUGCAUUGUGCUUGCUCUUCUAGGUGUCAUCCAACGUUGCCCUUGCGCGCAUCCGCAUCAGUCUCCAA
rnacentral:lncRNA from 1 species